AACACAAAAGAGAUAUACAUUUGUAUAUUAUCCGAGCUGUUGAUCCUUCCCUUUUAGUUGUACAAUUCCUUCUACAACAUUAUUGCAUAAAAGAAAAAUCUAAAAGUGUCAAUCUCAAAAGCCUUAUAAUCACAACUCAUUUUUUAUGGAAACUUAUGUUUCUAUUCUCUCAGCAUUCUGAGACUAUCUUCUUCUUUUUUUCUGAGAAAUUUGACUAACGAGGUUGUUGGAUUUUGAAAAAUAGUAAUUCUUGAUUGUUUUAAAGUUUUCUUUGUGAAUUUUCUUGAAAUUUGACAAAAGGAGUUGUGGGGUUUUGAGAAUACUGAAUUCUUGAUUAUUUUGAAGUUUUUCUUUCUUUUUCUUGUGUAUUUUUUUGAAAUUUAACAUUAAAAUUUGAGCGUUUGAAUAGGUCAAAAAUAGUAAAGUCCGAGUGUUUUUAUAGUUUUUCUUUUUGUGAUUUGGUAAAUUGAGAAAAAGGUUAUUGAAUUUUUUAGAUUCGGGAAGUGGGAUGGUGAAUUUUUGGGUGCUUUUGAGGAUCAGUUCUGUCUUUCGGGGAUUUUAAAGUUGUUGGAAGUGUAAUUUGAUGGAAAAGAAUCUUACUUUGUCUUUUGAAGACAUUGAAACUAACUUUGGCGAGUUACUCUUGCUUCCCUCAAAAGAUUUCUGUUUCAUUCUAUUUUUUGGAAUUAUAAUUGAUGGGAGUUGUGUAAUGAAAUAUGUAUUACUACUUUUGAUAAAUUUUGCGAAUAUUGAUUUUGUUUAAUUUGUGUUUCUUAAGCUUCUUGAACUAAUCUGUUUUUGGCUUUGACAGUUCCACUCUCUAUGCUUGUGGUUUUUUGGGGUGGGGGUGAAGUUGGAGGUAGAACUAGAUCAUAUUUGUUGUUAAGGCUUCAUCUGACAGAAUAGAAGUAGUCAUAUUUUGCAAGUUCUUAUUUUUCUGUUGGAAUAUUCAAGGGAUCUUUACUUAUAUCGUGAGAACAUGUGUGAAUGUUGUGUUAGGAACUUGCAUCAUUUCGAGGUAGUGGUUUGAUGUCUUGGAAGAGCAAGAAAUAAAAUGUGGCUGCUCAAUUUUGCAAAAGUAGAUCACCGAGCGAAAGUUGUGGCAACUUGCGAACUAAUUUUGAUCAAACAAUUCCCCAGAGAUCUAAGUUUGGAGAAAUCAGUCAAAUGAAAUGUGUAUCCGAUAAUCAAGUUGCAUCAAAUCCUGUGUUCCAUUUAAAAAACUAAAGACGUUGGGACCACUUCAACAGAGAAAAUAUACUUUCGAAGACAUUUACAAAUUUUGUGAAGUCAAAUGAUUAGCUUGUAAAUAUUUUCAUCAAGUCCCUAUUAUGCACCAUCUUGAGGGAGAGUAUUAGAAUCUUGUAAAAGUUGUAAAAUCUUAUGUAUUACUUAUGUUAUAGCUUGAUUUAUUUUCUGUAUUUACUUCCUCUUUCUUUUCUUAGAAUGUGUACACUUAGCUAUUUAAAAAUUCCAAUGGCUUGAGGGAAUUUUCGAAAGUUGAAUUUUCACUCAAUUCUUUCUUCCUAUCUUGUUUUAUUUACUCACAUGUUUGUUGGAGUUUCUUUAGAGGAAUUGGUUAUAGAUCAGGUUACAGGGUAGAAGCUUCUUAUUUUUGUCUCCUUCAAAUCAAAUGUUUUAUUAUAGAGUGGACUGGUGGAUCAAGAUCUCAAGAUCUUGAAGAAUGUUUAUAGACUUUUCUUUACCGUUUCUUACUCUAUAUUCUAUCCUUACGUUUCAGCAAUUGACCUUGUUGAUAAAGCUGCUGCAAAACUAAAGAUGGAAAUUACUUCAAAACCAACUGAAUUGGAUGAGAUAGAUAGGACUGUGAUGAAGUUGAAAAUGAAGAAACUUUCUCUGAAAAAUGACACGGAUAAAGCAUCUGAAAAGAAAGACAGAACAAGCUAGAAAGUGAUUUGAAGUCCCUCAAGCAAAAACAGAAAGAGUUAAAUGAACAGUGGGAAAGCGAGAAAGCUCUCAUGACAUGCAUAUGUUCUAUAAAGGAGGAGGUGAAUUGCUGGUUCUGAUACUGAAAUCAAUUCAAGUCAAGUUUUUCUUUGUAUUCUCAUGAUUACUGUCAAGUUUUUUUCAUUGAGUAGAUUGAUAGAGUGAACUUAGAUAUGGAAGCUGUUGAACGUGAUUAUGACUUGAAUCGUGCUGCUGAA